rnacentral:rRNA from 1 species
UACGUAGGGGGCAAGCGUUAUCCGGAUUUACUGGGUGUAAAGGGAGCGUAGACGGUUAUGCAAGUCUGAAGUGAAAGCCCAAGGCUCAACCAUGGGACUGCUUUGGAGACUGUAAAACUGGAGUGCAGGAGAGGUAAGCGGAAUUCCUAGUGUAGCGGUGAAAUGCGUAGAUAUUAGGAGGAACACCAGUGGCGAAGGCGGCUUACUGGACUGUAACUGACGUUGAGGCUCGAAGGCGUGGGGAGCAAACAGG